GCUGGUUUUUUAACUUUCAUGGGUGAGUAUGGCCUUGCCUGGGCUCACUCUUAUAAGCAAGCUUUGGGUUCUGUUUAGUAUAGACUUUCAGGUUCAGAUUUCAGACUGUGAAUCAGUUCUGGUCGCAACUGUUUCGCAAUUAGUAGCAAAUAUACGAGGAUUUUGGUAAAAAGAUAGUUGGUUGAACAGUCAACCAUCAUGCUCUGCACUGGUGCGCUGCUUCUUGACUAAAGUGAAACCUACAGAAGAGUGAAGCGAAAGCAUAGGCCAAGCCGUUGAAAAGCUUUAUGGAGUAGUGGGCGAGUCAAGCGUUAAAAGUUUUGGAUCAACAAGAUGUAUAUAUAUAUAAAAGUAGAAUUUGGCAACUUGCGGGAAACUUCCUAUUUUGUUAAUUUCUUUGUUUGAAUCUUACUUUUACCAAAACCCAUUCUUUUA